rnacentral:rRNA from 1 species
AGGACUAACGCUGGCGGCGUGCCUAACACAUGCAAGUCGAACGGGGUAGCAAUACCCAGUGGCAGACGGGUGAGUAACACGUGGUCAACCUACCUCUGUGUGGGGGAUAACUAGCCGAAAGGUUAGCUAAUACCGCAUACGAUCGUUUUGAGGCAUCUCGAGACGAUGAAAGGAGCAAUCCGCACGGAGAGGGGACUGCGUCCCAUUAGUUAGUUGGUGGGGUAACGGCCUACCAAGACUCCGAUGGGUAGCUGGCUUGAGAGAGCGACCAGCCACACUGGAACUGAGAAACGGUCCAGACUCCUACGGGAGGCAGCAGUGAGGAAUUUUCCGCAAUGGGCGAAAGCCUGACGGAGCGACGCCGCGUGUGGGAUGAAGGCCUUCGGGUCGUAAACCACUGUCGAAGGGGACGAUAAUGACGGUACCCUUGGGAGGAAGCCCCGGCUAACUACGUGCUAGCAGCCGC